GCUGGGUGUGAUGGCCAUGCCUGUAAUCUCAGUGGCUUGGGAGGCUGAGGCAGGAGGAUCUCGAGUUCAAAGCCAGCCCCAGCAAUUUAGUGAGGCCCUAAGCAAUUUAGUGAGACCCUGUCUCAA
rnacentral:sRNA from 1 species